ACAGUUUCUGAUUUCCUUUGUUUUUCAACCUCAGUCUGUUCUAGCUCCAGUGACUGACUACAAAUGGCCACACUGUUUACAGAAGGCUGGGGUGUCAGUUGUUGAAGGAAGAUGGAAUCGAGCAAGUCCACCUCCCACUCCAGAAGUCUGGUUCCCAGCUCAGUGGAGGCUCCUGGGGUUCCAGCCUCCUAGGGAGUCAGUGAAGACCACCGGAGGUGAUCUCUAAAUCCAAUCUCUGCAAGCGGAAGGAGACAGAGGGAGCAUCCCCACAACAGCCACACUGAAAUUAAUUAUUCUGAUCCACCAACACCAACUAAACUAUGAGAAUGGUCUUGUAAGCAAGGUCUGCUUUAAUAGAAACAUAAGUAUUAUGCAUUGCAGUCUAUUAUAAAUUGGUUGUAAUUUUCUCCUGACACUUUCUGAAUUAGUUAGUAUACAAAAAUAAUAAUAAUAAUAAUAACAAAUGCCACAAAGCAAAAAAAAGCAAACUCAAUGUCUGAAGGUUAAUGAUUGCUCAUGAAAGCCACAGAAAUAAAUUAUCUGCCUAGGGACACUGUCACAUGAUCAGCACAAAAGCAGCAAGAGCCAAAAAUGUUUAUGUAGAGGGAAAAAACACUGUCAGCGUCACAGAACCCUUCCCCCCACAGCUAAAUUCGAGUCCUGAGCCAGCCAGCUGCUCCUGACUGCUUACAUUAAACUAAUUUGUGCUGCUACAUUGCAGCUGCUUAAUUUUUAGGCUGAACUUUAUCACCAAUAAGUGUUACAAUAACAAGCGAUAUGAUGGUAUCUCUGAAGAAAUAUCCAUCAACCUCCAAACAAUGACAGCUUCAGGAGAGGAGACUGCAGAAAAACAAAUUAAAACAACAAAAAAAAAAGACAGAAAAGAAAAUCACCCCCACACUGCCUCUUUAAAGGGGGGAGGGGCGAACUUUUAGUGGGAAAGGCUUUAAAACGCUGCUUUGUUCCGAAGGCCAUUCUGAAAUGAAGAAGGGGGAUGAUUGAAAAGGUUAGCGAGCAGGGGAGGAGUUAACAAGUAAGAUGUGCUUUUGCUAAGAGAGGGUGAUUUGCAAGGCGGCUGAUAAAUCACACUACGGAGCUGACUCAGAAUGCCACAGGGCAGGGCCUUGUUUCCAUGGGUUUCUGUUGAUGUCCCCCGACUGUGGCUGGGGCUCAGCGGGAUGUCUCUGUCUGCUGUUGGCAAGGCUUUAAGACCACUGGGAACUCAGACACAAGCAUCCUGGGGCCUGGAGUCCAAGGGAUUCUCAAGAUGGACAUCCUGUCAAAACUUCAAGUGUGAAAUGAGGAAUUAAUUUGAUGGAAUGUAUCCGUCUAUCUUACCUGUUUCUCCAGAGCUGGACUGAACUGGUCUGACGAGGACACUUGAAGGCUCGUGAAUAAGUUCAUACAUUUGGUGUGGAAGACAGAGCUAAAGAUGUGGGUGCUGGUGUGUACGUGUGAAUGUGCACAUACGUGUAUGUGUGGGGAGCACAUACGAAUUCAAAACCGUCGGUAUCUGAGGCUAUUUAAUCCUGGACCUUG